rnacentral:lncRNA from 1 species
AAGGGCUCGCUUGCACAAGCUCCCAGGCAUUCCUGGAGUCCUCACUGCUGUGCCCUGGGCUGCGCAAGGCACACAGGGCAGCCGCACUAUGUUGUCAUCCUCAGGUCACAGCUGGGAAACACGAAGCUUGGAGAAAUGAAGCACAGAGCCCAAGACCACUCUGGGAAGUGGCAGAGCCGGCUUCCCACAUGAGUCAACUGCCUCCAGAACCCAGUGAAGAAAUGACAUCAGUGUGGGCCAACGUCAGGGGUGCACUCCUGCAGGAGGUGGGGUCCAGCCACUGUAGGCAGAGGCCUGGGCAGGGGCACAGGAGCAGAAUCACGGGGGCCUGGGGAGAUAUGCAGGCAGCGCCAUUUAGAAAUGAUGGUGAUGCAGCUGAUUUUACGAAUGUCCUCAUUGCCUGCCUGCUUGUCCUCCACACACUACACACUCAUUUUCAUUUUCUUUUUUGAUUUUUUGUUUGUUUGUUUUGAGAUAGGGUCUCGUUCUGUUGCACAGGCUGGAGUACAGUGGUGUGAUCAUGCCUCACUGCAGCCUCAAACCCCUGGGCUCAAGCGAUACUUCCCAUCUCAGCCUCCCAAUAGCUGGGAUUACAGGUGCACACCACCACGCCCGACUUGCACAGUCAUUUUCUUACGGCACAAAGACACAUAACUCUGUACUUGUUCAUCAACCUCUUCCUCCAAACCGGCUCUGAGCAAGUCACUCCUGUCUUACAAACACCGGCUUCCUGCUGCGGGGGAGACCACACCCAUCUUAGUUGACGGCAAAAGCCCCUUGUGAUGUGGCCUUCCUCUACCCUAUUUGUGAGGGCUUUUGUGACUGCUGGAGAGCAUUCCACAGCCCCACCUCCCGAGCUUGAGUCCUGCUGCUGCUCUGCUCCUAGAGUGCCACCUUUUCAUUUCAUACCAGUGCCCUCCGGGGACUCCAGGGCUUCCCCGGUCUCCCAGGCUCCCUUGAGUUCAUGUCUCCAGGACUGGCAGUGUACACUUAGCAGGGACUCCAUCGAGGGCACCUCACUCACCAACCCCAAGGAAGCCAGCAUUUGACUUGAACCGCACUGCAUAAUCAGAUACCACACAACUUUUGGAAUUGGCAUUGAUCAGGAAAAUGAUUUAAAAGGUGGGGGAUGCUGUUUAUUGAAUAAAGGAUAGUGUUGCCCUCCCAUGUGAGGCUCCCAGGAAAGAGUACCUGGUAAGCCUAUGCAACUGAGUACAUUAGAGUCUUCUGAAGUUAAAUUUGGAAUUGGGACGAGGUAGGAAAAAAUCUGUGCUCAUUGGAUACAGACUGCAAUUGUCUGUCGGUGCAGGAACUGAAGUAUCUGCAGCAAAUUAUAUUUAAGACUCUAUUGUCGCAGGCGGAUUAGCUAAUGCUUGAUUUUAAGUAUAGGCUUCUAAUGCUAUUACUCCUGGUUAACUCUACCUGGCAGGUAAACUUGUGGAACAAAUGACUGCAUUGCUUGAAUAACAUAUUUGAUCAAACAGGACAAUUCUUUCAAAAAUUGAGUUCUCUGUGGCAAUUUGAGACCUGUAAUCAGCAAAUUAGAUGAUUACAGCAGGGAUAAAAAUAGUCUUCUAACAAUGUCCAAGGUAUAAAUGUGAUUUGAAUUUCAAAAUGUGGAACAUGUGGUAGGAAAAUGCACGGUUGGGUAAAUAUGACUAGACAUUAUCAGAUUUGAUUUCUCUCUCUAGCCCUGCUCAGAGCUAGAGCCUAAUUUUGCCCAAAUAAACUCCAAUCUCGUUUGUGUCUGAGUUAGAGGAUGGACACGUAUUGGGUGCCAUGCUCUGAAUCUUAAAGGGCUCCAUGGC